rnacentral:rRNA from 1 species
GACGAACGCUGGCGGCGUGCCUAAUACAUGCAAGUAGAACGCUGAAGGAGGAGCUUGCUUCUCUGGAUGAGUUGCGAACGGGUGAGUAACGCGUAGGUAACCUGCCUGGUAGCGGGGGAUAACUAUUGGAAACGAUAGCUAAUACCGCAUAAGAGUAGAUGUUGCAUGACAUUUGCUUAAAAGGUGCAAUUGCAUCACUACCAGAUGGACCUGCGUUGGAUUAGCUAGUUGGUGGGGUAACGGCUCACCAAGGCGACGAUACAUAGCCGACCUGAGAGGGGGAUCGGCCACACUGGGACUGAGACACGGCCCAGACUCCUACGGGAAGCAGCAAUAGGGAAUCUUCGGCAAUGGACGGAAGUCUGACCGAGCAACGCCGCGUGAGUGAAGAAGGUUUUCGGAUCGUAAAGCUCUGUUGUAAGGGAAGAACGAGUGUGAGAGUGGAAAGUUCACACUGUGACGGUAUCUUACCAGAAAGGGACGGCUAACUACGUG